rnacentral:rRNA from 1 species
AGAGUUUGAUCAUGGCUCAGAGCGAACGCUGGCGGCAGGCCUAACACAUGCAAGUCGAACGGAUCCUUCGGGAUUAGUGGCGAACGGGUGCGUAACACGUGAGCAAUCUGCCUCGAUGUGGGGGAUAGCCGGCCCAACGGCCGGGUAAUACCGCAUACGCUCUCUGGGUGGCAUCACUUGGAGAGGAAACAUUUUUGGCAUUGAGAGGAGCUCGCGGCCUAUCAGCUAGUUGGUGGGGUAAUGGCCUACCAAGGCUUUGACGGGUAGCUGGUCUGAGAGGAUGGCCAGCCACAUUGGGACUGAGAUACGGCCCAGACUCCUACGGGAGGCAGCAGUGGGGAAUAUUGCGCAAUGGCCGAAAGGCUGACGCAGCGACGCCGCGUGGGGGAUGAAGCAUUUCGGUGUGUAAACCCCUGUUGCCCGGGACGAACAACUGGUUUUGACCAGUCUGACGGUACCGGGUGAGGAAGCACCGGCUAACUCCGUG